ACUAGGGUAGCCUAGUGGACAUGGCAUCUGCCCGGUAAGCGGAAGGUUGUGGGUUCGAUUCCCGCCCCUGGAC
rnacentral:tRNA from 1 species